rnacentral:misc_RNA from 1 species
GUGUUAUAUUGUGUUGUGGUAUGUUUAGACCAAAGUUAAUCAGGAGAUAAUGUUGGAGCGUGUGCCGUUGGCGGGAAGGGAAGGCUAUCCCCUUUCCCGCCAACAACUCUCCGCGCUGGAAACGAUUCACACAAGAUUGGUUGGGGCACGUGCAGUCGCCCGCACGCGCCCCGAAUCAGUGAUGAUCCUUCCGCAGGUUCACCUACGGAAA